UGGGCAACCUGCCCCUCUCUCUGGGAUAACCCCGGGGAAACCGGAGCUAAUACCGGAUACUCCGGCUGGAUCGCAUGGUCCGGCCGGGAAAGGUCCGCCGGAGAGGGAUGGGCCCGCGGCCUAUCAGCUUGUUGGUGGGGUCAUGGCUCACCAAGGCGACGACAGGUAGCUGGUCUGAGAGGACGACCAGCCACACUGGAACUGAGAUACGGUCCAGACUCCGUACGGGAGGCA
rnacentral:rRNA from 1 species